UUAGUUACCUGGACAGGGUCAAUGGGUGAUCAUUAAGGCCCAUUUGCCUAGAUUUGUGACCUACAUUGCACUUUGUAUGCAUGUCUAAGGUCAGCUAAAAUUUGUUGAUCCUAUGUCAUAAUUUAAGUCAGUGGGGGCCUGCGUUCGCGCGACCCAUU